GGGCUUCUUUCCGAGUUCUCUCCCCUGGCUAAUCUGGAGGCUGACCAUCAGCACCCCAGAAGUCAGCCUGAGAGUGUCCCCGUGUCCUCGGCAGCACCCAGUGGGUGACUUUCCUAGUGGUUCCUGCUCUGUGUCUAAGCAUGCACAAGCCCAGCUGAGGCCGUAGGUGCUGCAUCUAGCGGGUUUAGGACACUCCAACCCUGCCUCCUACUCCCCUGACACCCCGGGAUCACCUGAUGCAUGCUCUCCACACAGGCCACGAGGUCAUCACUCUCUCCCAACAGCCAUCCCAGCAGGAUGGGCAGUCCAGGGGCCAACUGGUCCCACUGCUGGAGCAGAUCACACAGGACGGCCAGGGCCAGGGCCAGAGCGAUGGAGGCAUCCACCUGGCAGAAGGCAAACUCUGCAAAGACAGGAGAAAGUGUCACCAGAAGGAUCAGGAAGGCUUCCCUGUCCAGUGUCUCCUCUGCACAUCUGCCUGGAUUUGACUGGUUUGUCCUUUCCUUGGAAAGCAGAUCUCUUGGGCACAAGACACAUCCUAGAGCAGGGCAUCGGCAAGCUUUUCCUUAAAGG
rnacentral:lncRNA from 1 species